CAUUAAGUUGGGCACUCUAAGUUGACUGCCGGUGACAAACCGGAGGAAGGUGGGGAUGACGUCAAAUCAUCAUGCCACUUAUGAUUUGGGCUACACACGUGCUACAAUGGACAAUACAAAGGGCAGCAAAACCGCGAGGUCAAGCAAAUCCCAUAAAGUUGUUCUCAGUUCGGAUUGUAGUCUGCAACUCGACUACAUGAAGCU
rnacentral:rRNA from 1 species